UCCUUGAAUAUUUAAAAGGCUUUUUUAUUCUGCAUUUCUUUCCCUGCCCAGGUCUACAAGCCAACAGUUCUACCCUUGUUAAAAUCUCCAUAGAAUGUCCAGGACAUUCUCAUCAAAUGUGACCUGGAACAAGGAAAAGAUCUGCACGGUUCAGUCAAAUUGAGAGGAGAAGAACACUGAAAUGCUGAUUACCAUAAUAAGACAAAACUGGAAAAUGCCUUUUCAUUCAGACAACCGCCUGCCUGCUGAGAGAAAGGAUUUUACAAUGGGAGUGUUGUCCUACUUUUCUUUUGAUUUGCCAUUUCCAUGUUGAAGGCACUGAGGAUGAGAGAAAGUAACAUGCCUGAAGGCCACUCUGUAGGUUCAUGACACAGAGUUAUCCUAUAUCCAGAUAGAUUCUCCAUGUCUGGCCAUGCUCCCAAAAUGGAUACAGCUGCUUAUAAAAUCUGGAUGUAUCCUGAAUUCAAAAUGAAAUCGGCAGUGUGGCUUCUCAAGUCAACUCUUGACUAUGGAGAGAAGAAAAAGCAGACACAGCUCCACCAUGCCUUGGCCCAGAAGCAGAUGAAAAGCCCUCACUCCAUCCCAACUGCCCUGACCUCAGAGAGACAAAGGAGUACUGGUAGUAUCUGCAGGACUAAAGACUAUCACACAAGGCUAAAAAAUAGAAUAUAGAUAGGAUAUAGGUAUCUUUGGCCAGUACUUUUCACAUGAUAUCAUGUCUAUGCAUGAUGCAUUCCAUUCAUCACUGUAAUGUACCUCUUCAUUGAGAGAUAAAAUCCAUCAAUAGGCUCUCAAUCUUAUUGCUAUUCCAGUACUGCCUUCAUGCAAUAGGUCCCUUCCACUGCAGUUCCACUUCUCAAGCAAUCACAUGGUAUGACUGGAUGUGAUUCUGUUCCUCUCUUUGAAUUUAUUCCCAAGAGGGUUGCCACUGGCCUCCUCUUAGGCUGAAAGAAUGUGAUUUGCCUAAGGGCACCCAGUGAGUUUCCAAGGAUCAUGUGUUAGUCAAAAUGGUCACAGGUAUCAGCACAUCAAAUACAUAUAACUAUAAGAGGACAUCCUGUGGUAUACUUAUGCUGAACUUAAUAGCCCUACAUGCAAAGUAAGAGAGGUCAUUUCUUUAGACAGUAAUGUGUUUGGUUUUUUCCCACUUAGUCCAUAAUGUGAUGUGCUAAGACAAGGUACCCUCUUGUUCAUGCUGCUGAGUGAGAGCUUGGACUCCUGCUCUAAAAUCCUGCCUUGAUCGCACCACUGAGAACUUCUCAUUUUAAACCUAACACUGGCCCAGACUCAACACAGAGACAUCAUCAGACCCUGCCUUUCCCAGAGGCAUUUAAAUCACUUCUGGCUGUUUGCUAUAGCAUAUGCUGACAAACUAUUCUAUCUCUACCUUUUGCUAUCCCACAGGGAAACCAGAUGCUGGAGUGACAUUUGAAAGUUGCACAUGAGAAAAUAUCUCUUUUCCCUUUCACAAUAAAGAUUGCCUUAGCUAGGACUGAUCCAGACUUUUGGUUGGAAACAUUUGGCAAAUAUAAAAGCUGACUUGGCCAUGGCAGCUAAGGCAAACAAAAGCAGAAGGAUCAACAUCACAUAUUGCUAGUCUGAAGCCAUCAGUUUUGAAACAAAAGGUACACUCCCACCAGGUGCAGCCCCAGACAUAUUGUGGCCCAUGAUAGGCAAGAAGGCAAGCCCACCAGAGUCCAUAUCUGAUUGACAGCUGAACACUGUUUUACCAUUAGUGUCCUCCACCACAUCAGAGACAGUAGGCUAAUUUAGGGACCUUAAGACAAGUGAAAUUGUAUACACAACUGUUUCAUACCCUUUGGCGUGUCCUACUUGAAGGAGGCCUGCUCAGACAAAAAGCGGCCGCCCGGCUGGACGGGCAGGCCACUUUGCCGCUAGAAGCAGCGGCGAAACUACAAGCCCCAGAAUCCUCUGGGGCUUGCCCUGGCUCCUUAUUGGUGCGCGGGGCAGAAGGGGUGUCUCUUCCGCCCCGCAAUGCUCUAGGAGCCGGGCUCUAUGGUCCAGGAGUUCUGGUCCUCCAGGGCAGCUCAUUGGGCAGUUGCCCUGGAGGAGGAGUCUACCUGACCACAUGGUCUGGGGGGCGGAGCUGGGGCCUAUUUAAGGCCGCGCUGCCGGCUCCGGCCCUCAGCCGGCGCUUGGCUCCGGUUGAGGACGGAGCCAAGCUGGAAGGGAGGAGGUGCUGGAGUGCUUCUCCCACCCACCCACCGCUUGGUUCUGGGCUUUUUGUCACAACCUGUGGGCGGCAGCAUAGGCCAGGAUCUGCACGGUGUGGUACCAGGGCUACGGAGCUCUGGUUUGGGAGUCAGUCGGGGACCCAGGGGCGAAUAUGGCAGGCGUAUGGCCAUUGCGGGGGCCAUAACG